rnacentral:rRNA from 1 species
AAACUUUCAACAACGGAUCUCUUGGUUCUGGCAUCGAUGAAGAACGCAGCGAAAUGCGAUAAGUAGUGUGAAUUGCAGAAUUUAGUGAAUCAUCGAAUCUUUGAACGCACAUUGCGCCCUUUGGUAUUCCUUAGGGCAUGCCUGUUCGAGCGUCAUCU